GUACGGCCUUCAACAAUGAGCAAAUCAAAAAGUAAAAUCACAAAAAUACUGAACUCGGAAAGUCCCUAAUCACAUGGCAAAAUCAAAUGACAAAACACAUCAAACGAAUGGACAACAACUAUCAUAUUCCUGACUUGGUACAGGCAUUUUCAAAUGUAGAAAAUGGUGGAUUGAACCUGGUUUUAAAGCGCUAAACUUCUCGUUUUUACAUCAGUCUC
rnacentral:lncRNA from 1 species